rnacentral:rRNA from 1 species
UACGAAGGGUGCAAGCGUUGUUCGGAUUUAUUGGGCGUAAAGCGCGCGCAGGCGGAUGAAGAAGUCAGAUGUGAAAACUCGGGGCUUAACCUCGAACGUGCGUCUGAAACUUUUUGUCUGGAGUGAUGGAGGGGGAAGGGGAAUUUCACGUGUAGGGGUAAAAUCCGUAGAGAUGUGAAGGAACACCAGAGGCGAAGGCGCCUUCCUGGCCAUUAACUGACGCUGAGGCGCGAGAGCAUGGGUAGCAAACAGG